ACAAGCGUGGAGCAUGUGGUUUAAUUCGAAGCAACGCGCAGAACCUUACCAACCCUUGACAUGGGUAUCGCGGGACCAGAGAUGGUCCUUUCAGUUCGGCUGGAUACCACACAGGUGCUGCAUGGCUGUCGUCAGCUCGUGUCGUGAGAUGUUCGGUUAAGUCCGGCAACGAGCGCAACCCACACUCUUAGUUGCCAUCAUUUGGUUGGGCACUCUAGGAGAACUGCCGGUGAUAAGCCGGAGGAAGGUGUGGAUGACGUCAAGUCCUCAUGGCCCUUACGGGUUGGGCUACACACGUGCUACAAUGGUGGUGACAAUGGGUUAAUCCCAAAAAGCCAUCUCAGUUCGGAUUGGGGUCUGCAACUCGACCCCAUGAAGUCGGAAUCGCUAGUAAUCGCGUAACAGCAUGACGCGGUGAAUACGUUCCCGGGCCUU
rnacentral:rRNA from 1 species